AGUAUUAACAUUGAAACAACGAGUGAGCGAUCGUUAGAAGCGGGGGACCUUCCUCUUUAAAACGCUUUUUGAUUUAUCUCGAUACGACUUCCGGUUGCCGAGAUAUCGUCGUGUAAAGAGAAAGGUAAUUUUUAAUCAUUUUCUAUUUCUAUCCUUGCCGCUUACUCGGAUCUCUCGCUCGCACCUCGUCUCACUGACCUAUACCGAAUUCCAGACAAGUGACAGACGCGAUUCCUAGAAAAACUAGAUACUCGAUUCUUGGAAGGACGUAGUACGCAUUUCCAGGAAAAAAAUGUAGGUCAGAUCGCGAGCCCAUUCAUAAUCUUUACGCUUACUCUUAAACUUUGAAUGCUUGUAUCUCGGCAACCGAUUGAGAUAUCGGGAUAAAACAAAAAGAGACUUCAAUCGUAUGAUUUCCUCUAUUUUUUUGAAUGGAUUUGGAUAAUCAAAUUUUUCGUUUCUUCUCACUUUUCUUAACAUGAAAAAUCCAAAUUAUACGAUUGCAAUGAUCCGUUAUAAUUGUAAGGUAGUAAGUGUAGAACAAAUUUAUUUAAUUUUAGAACAAUGAUACGUAUAUUAAAUUAAAUAUAAAAAUUUAUAAUCUAGUGAGGAGUGCGAAGAGGUUGAAUUGAAAAAAUUUCUGGAACGAGAAGAAUUUCAUGACAUACGUAUACAAGAAAAAGAGGGGAGGGGGGGGGGAAACGUUGUCUAUCGUAAUUAGUCGAAGCCGUGAUGGAGGAUCCAUCAUUUUUUAUCUGACAAGUGACGAAAGUCUGGAGAUAGACACUGGCGUGCGCACACAACAGGAAUUAAUGGAGCUCGUGAGGGUUGCGGGCGUCUGUUCACUCGAACGCGAGACAUGACAGUAAUCAAAAUCAAACAAUGUUCGUAUCCAAUGGCCGUGUCAGUGUCAGCGAUCUUUUAAAAAAUAACCGCACCAGAAUAAUCGCAAUUCCUUAAUCAAUCCCUCCACCUCGAUCAAUACAAUCAUUUUCCAUCGAUAUUAAAAGAUAACAGAUAAUUUCCCCGUGAAACAACCUUUCCCACCAGCCCUGGGUUAACUGGGAACAGAUGUUAAUGAUCGUCGAAUGGGCGAGAGUUUCGCCGGCAGCGAAAUUCAGAAUUGCAAACAGGGUUGCACGGUACUCGGUUUGUUCCCUUAUUUUCUUAAUUGCAAUAUAAAUGAAUGCGCGCUGCAUAGCCGCAUAAAAUUAUUAGCGCUUUUGGGUGGAUGCGUUCAAGGGGGAGAAGGAAGGGAAUAAGAUGGAAGAGGGAAAGUUUUGGGGGAUUCCAAAACGAAUUCACGGCGGAAUGUAUAA